rnacentral:lncRNA from 1 species
AGUCCUCCAGGAACUGAAAGCAGUGAGGAUGCCUCAGCCCCUCACUGUGUCCACACAAGAUUGACAGAAGAAGGUUCUUGUCUUCAUUCUGGAGAUGUUCAUAUCCAGAUAAAUGCCAUAUCUAAAGAAUGUGCGGAAAAUACAAGCUCCAGAAAUAUAAGGUCAGAUGUCCAUAGCUGUGCCCAUGGAUGGGUACACAGUCACUUACAGGGUCACUCCCACAGUGAAGCAAGGCUGCCUGAUGAUACUGCCGCAGAAUCUGGAGAUCACGGUAGUAGCUCUUCAAGUGGUUGCAAAAAAGUCUUCCACAUAUUUUGAUUCUGAGUGUCAAACUUGUUAUGCAGCAUAUAACAGGAAUUUCUCUUGGAAUUGGGCUGCUAACAACUUUUAUGUAUGCAAACAAAAGCACUGUAAAUCAGGUUUUUCUAAGCAAGAAAGGUCCUCAAAGAUUCAGUGUGCUUGGUUACUGGUAUUCUUAGCAGGAUCUUCUGUUCUUUUAUAUUACACCUUUCAUUCUCAGUCACUUUAUUACAGCUUCUGGGAAGUACUUUGGAUUAUUGGAAUUACAGACUUCAUUCUGAAAUUCUUUUUCAUGAGCUUAAAAUGCCUUAUCUUAUUGGUGCCUUCUUUCAUCAUGCCUUUUAAAUCUAAGGGUUACUGGUAUAUGCUUUUAGAAGAAUUGUAUCAAUACUACCGAACUUUUGUUCCCAUACUAGUUUGGUUUCACUACCUUAUAAGCUAUGGGGAGUUUGGUAAUGUAACUAGACGGAGUCUUAGGAUAUUGCUGGCUUUACUUUACCUCGUACUAAAACUUUUGGAAUUUUUUGGGCAUCUGAGAACUUUCAGACAGGUUUUACGAAUAUUUUUUACAUGACCAAGUUAUGGAGUGGCUGCCAGCAAGAGACAGUGUUCAGAUGUGGAUGGUACUUGUUCAAUAUGUCAAGCUGAAUUUCAGAAGCCAAUUCUUCUCAUCUGUCAGCAUAUAUUUUGUGAAGAGUGCAUUACCUUAUGGUUUAACAGAGAGAAAACAUGUCCACUCUGCAGAGCUGUGA